rnacentral:rRNA from 1 species
AGAUUGAACGCUGGCGGCAUGCCUUACACAUGCAAGUCGAACGGCAGCACGGGAGUAAUCCUGGUGGCGAGUGGCGAACGGGUGAGUAAUACAUCGGAGCGUGUCCUGUAGUGGGGGAUAGCCCGGCGAAAGCCGGAUUAAUACCGCAUACGAUCUACGGAAGAAAGCGGGGGAUCCUUCGGGACCUCGCGCUAUAGGGGCGGCCGAUGGCAGAUUAGCUAGUUGGCGGGGUAAUGGCCCACCAAGGCAGUGAUCAGUA